rnacentral:rRNA from 1 species
CACGUAGGGUGCGAGCGUUGUCCGGAAUUAUUGGGCGUAAAGAGCUCGUAGGCGGUGUGUCGCGUCGGCCGUGAAAACCUGCAGCUUAACUGUGGGCUUGCGGUCGAUACGGGCAUCACUGGAGUUCGGCAGGGGAGACUGGAAUUCCUGGUGUAGCGGUGAAAUGCGCAGAUAUCAGGAGGAACACCGGUGGCGAAGGCGGGUCUCUGGGCCUGUACUGACGCUGAGGAACGAAAGCGUGGGGAGCGAACAGG